AUCAAGUCAUUUAAGACUUACUAUGCAAAAAUCUGUAAAGAAGAAUUUGGCCAUUUGGUUCUUCUAGCGUUACUUGAUUCUGUGGACGAUACAGUUCUAGUCAAGAAAAUCGUAUUUUCGGUAAGAAUUAAU